CAAGGCCAAUCUUAUGUACCCCAACUUGAGAGAGGAAUUGUGUAACACAUCACUUGCAACCAUUUUCUUGCUCCCGUUGACUUCCUGGGGCACGAACGUACCAACAAGACGGGUUUUUAUCAGUGAAAUUGAUUCAAGACCAUAAAGUAUGUGUCAUUUUCCCACUUUGGCGUUAAGAAGAAGAAGGCACACAAGGAUAUUUGGUACCAUGAUUGGUACCAAAGUCAAUUCUUCUAUUGAUAAUCACAGGCACUUUAUGCCUGCACACUGAGGCACGAAGCAAGACCAGACCUUGCAAAGCCAGCAAGUACACUGUACAUGCACAAUCUGACUGGGGUGAUGGAGACCGCUAUACGGGCUACUAACGCCCAGUAUGAAAAUCCCGAGAUCCUCAAGCGAUUAGAUUGCAGGCUACUAGAGGCCGUUCAGUUACAUCAUCGCAUGACUUUAGCAGAACUAAAGAGAUUCUUUGGCGUCGAAUCGCAUGCUGAAGCUCCUUCUUACUAUAUCGUUCAUCCAUUCCAUUCCGAUGAAUACGGUAACUUCGUUGGUUACAACCUCCGUCCUCAAGAGGAAUCAAGGCAACGGAGGAGUACUGGGCCCGAAGAACCCGACUUUCAUUACUUUAAGUUUCGAGCAAUGGGGAAACACCUCCACCUGAAAGUCGCCAAGAGUGACGGCCUCUUAUCCUAGCGAGCACGUGUACACACCGUGCAUAAGGAUGGAAGCGUGACCAGCAGCACUGUACCGAGAGAGGCUGAGUACUACAGUGGUCACGUGACCUCGCACCCAGACUCCAUGGUGGCGCUUAGAAGCGAUAGUGGACUGGCCGGAUUGAUUAGCACAUCAGAAGACUCAUUAUUCAUCCAACCCCUGCCAAGUCGUCUCGCAAGGCACUAUGGGAUAGAAGGCGGGGCUCAGCCUCACGUGAUCCACUGGCGAGCUAUUGAUGACGUCAUGUACGAGCAGGGCAGCAAAGGGACAGUUUCACCCGUGGCGAGGCAAUCAACAAACCCCUUGUCUAAGAGGAGUGGCGAGAAAUACCUGGAGACAAACAUGAUUGCAGACAAUUUCAUCACAAGCAAAUAUGGAAACGAGACGGCGAACAACUUGCUAAUGCUGGCUUGUUACGCGUCAAGUUUUUCUGGGAGGCAGCGCGGGAGAUAUCAAGAUCCACUUAGUGGUGGUCGGGAUUACACUUAACAUCGGAGGGUUUGGAUACGGUAGUUCAGCGACGUCCGGGGAAAGACUGUCUGCGUUAGGGAAAUGGGCGUCAACCAACUUACCCACAGAUGAUAGUAACGCCGCCCAUCCCGACGUAAUCGUGCUGAUUUCGAGUAUUAGUGGAGGACUUGCCGGGGCGGGGUCGAUAUGCAGCGGACUCGGUAAAACAGUAUCAGGAGAUAUAGGGCUACAGACCGCCGUUAUUAUUGCACACGAGGUUGCACAUGCCCUGGGCGUUGGCCAUGA